GAUGAACGCUGGCGGCGUGCCUAAUACAUGCAAGUCGAGCGAACAGACGAGGAGCUUGCUCCUCUGACGUUAGCGGCGGACGGGUGAGUAACACGUGGAUAACCUACCUAUAAGACUGGGAUAACUUCGGGAAACCGGAGCCAAUACCGGAUAAUAUAUUGAACCGCAUGGUUCAAUAGUGAAAGACGGUUUUGCUGUCACUUAUAGAUGGAUCCGCGCCGCAUUAGCUAGUUGGUAAGGUAACGGCUUACCAAGGCAACGAUGCGUAGCCGACCUGAGAGGGUGAUCGGCCACACUGGAACUGAGACACGGUCCAGACUCCUACGGGAGGCAGCAGUAGGGAAUCUUCCGCAAUGGGCGAAAGCCUGACGGAGCAACGCCGCGUGAGUGAUGAAGGUCUUCGGAUCGUAAAACUCUGUUAUUAGGGAAGAACAAAUGUGUAAGUAACUAUGCACGUCUUGACGGUACCAAAUCAGAAAGCCACGGCUAACUACGUG
rnacentral:rRNA from 1 species